rnacentral:rRNA from 1 species
CCUACGUGAGGCAGCAGUGAGGAAUAUUGGUCAAUGGGCGCGAGCCUGAACCAGCCAAGUAUCGUGAAGGAUGACUGCCCUACGGGUUGUAAACUUCUUUUAUAAAGUAAUCAAGUGAGGCACGUGUGCCUUUUUGUAUGUACUUUAUGAAUAAGGAUCGGCUAACUCCGUGCCAGCAGCCGCGGUAAUACGGAGGAUCCGAGCGUUAUCCGGAUUUAUUGGGUUUAAAGGGAGCGUAGAUGGGUUGUUAAGUCAGUUGUGAAAGUUUGCGGCUCAACCGUAAAAUUGCAAUUGAUACUGGCAGUCUUGAGUACAGUUGAGGUAGGCGGAAUUCGUGGUGUAGCGGUGAAAUGCUUAGAUAUCACGAAGAACUCCGAUUGCGAAGGCAGCUUACUAAACUGCCACUGACAUUGAUGCUCGAAAGUGUGGGUAUCAAACAGGAUUAGAUACCCGAGUAGUC